AUACGGAGGGUGCGAGCGUUAAUCGGAAUUACUGGGCGUAAAGGGCGCGUAGGUGGUGCGUUGAGUCAGCUGUGAAAGCCCUGGGCUUAACCUGGGAAUGGCAGUUGAGACUGGCGUGCUGGAGUGCGACAGAGGACGGUGGAAUUCCCGGUGUAGCGGUGAAAUGCGUAGAGAUGUGGAGGAACUCCGAUGGCGAAGGCAGCCCCCUGGGUCGACACUGACGCUCAUGCACGAAAGCGUGGGGAGCAAACAGGAUUAGAUACCCUGGUAGUCCACGCCCUAAACGAUGCGAACUAGGUGUUGGGGAAGGAGACUUCUUUAGUACCGUAGCUAACGCGUGAAGUUGACCGCCUGGGGAGUACGGCCGCAAGGUUGAAACUCAAAUGAAUUGACGGGG
rnacentral:rRNA from 1 species